UGGAAGCUGGUUUCACAUGGUGGCUUAGAUUUUCCCAUCUUUGUAUCUAGCACCAUUUGAAAUCAGUGUUCU
rfam:Chelonia mydas contig266345, whole genome shotgun sequence.